rnacentral:rRNA from 1 species
GUAGGUGGCAAGCGUUGUCCGGAAUUAUUGGGCGUAAAGCGCGCGCAGGCGGUUCUUUAAGUCUGAUGUGAAAGCCCACGGCUCAACCGUGGAGGGUCAUUGGAAACUGGAGAACUUGAGUACAGAAGAGGAAAGCGGAAUUCCACGUGUAGCGGUGAAAUGCGUAGAGAUGUGGAGGAACACCAGUGGCGAAGGCGGCUUUCUGGUCUGUAACUGACGCUGAGGCGCGAAAGCGUGGGGAGCAAACAGGGAUUAGAUACCCUGGUAGUCCACGCCGUAAACGAUGAGUGCUAAGUGUUAGGGGGUUUCCGCCCCCUUAGUGCUGCAGCUAACGCAUUAAGCACUCCGCCUGGGGGUACGCCGCAAGGCUG